AUUUAGCUGAAGAGUCGUAAAUAGGAUGAAACACGCGCUUUAUCCUAGAU
rfam:Schistosoma mattheei strain Denwood, Zambia genome assembly, scaffold: SMTD_scaffold0023398